rnacentral:rRNA from 1 species
CGGGGUCCCACCUCUUCCCAUUCCGAACAGAGAAGUUAAGCCCGCCAUCGCCGAUGGUACUGCAAUGCAAUGCGGGAGAGUAGGUAGCCGCCUUUU